rnacentral:rRNA from 1 species
CUUCAAUCGCUAUCACCUUUCUUCAUUGAUUGGUGAGUGGCAUUGGAUCUUUUACUUUGAAAAAAUUCGAGUGUUUCAAGCCGGGUUUAUGCUAUGAAUACAUUAGCAAGAAAUUAUAAUUUAGGACUUCGACUCUGUUUUGUUGGUUUCUAGGACUGAAGUAAUGAUUGAUAGGGAUAGUUGGGGGUGCUAGGAUUCAGCGGCCAGAGGAGAAAUUCUCGGAUUCGCCGAAGACUAACUUAUGCGAAAGCAUUCACCAAGGAUGUCUUCUUUAAUCAAGAACGAAAGUUGGGGGAUCGAAGACGAUCAGAUACCGUCGUAGUCUCAACAAUAAACUAUGCCUACUAGGGAUGAGUGAACGUUGCAUUUUCGACUUAAGAAGCACCUUAUGAGAAAUCAAAGUCUUUGGGUU